AAAGUUUCAAAAAGAAGCACGGAAAAGGGCAUUCGGUAAAGAAAAAAAACAAGAAAAGAAAACCGAGGAAAUAAAAGAAACAAACACAGGAUAUAACAUUGACUCUGAACCAAAAGUCAAGCCAAGCUACAACCUGAAAGACCUGAAAAACCUCAAAAGUGUGUGUGUUAUGUGUAGGUGAUAGGAAAAGAGAGACUAUUCAAACUUGUGAGUGAUAUUGCA
rnacentral:lncRNA from 1 species